CACACGGCAGCCUGUGCUGCCGCAUGGUGGCCUGGGAAUGCUUGUUUACACACCUUCCCUGUUGCAGCGUCACCACGUGGCUGUCUGGGCACACUUGCUUUUAAGUCUCCAGUGUCCCAGGAACCAUCAUUUGGCCGCUUGGGCACACCAUGUUGGUACACUUGCUGUGUGCCGGUGCUGCCAUUCGGUGGCAUCGGAAUGCAACUUUGCAUACCCGCCAGCACCACCUGCCCCGGUGUCACCACAAGGGCCUGGCAAUGUGGUUUAGACGCUAAAGGUGGCUGCUGCCAAGUCUGACAACCUGAGUUCGAGCCCCAGGGAUAGGCGUGGAAGAAGAGAACUGACUCCUGUUUUAAAAUACAAGUAAGUAAAGUGCACCCGCACAGAGCACGUGCCACAGACUGUUCACCAGUGGAAAUCGCAGGACCGGAGGCUGCUCAGGGUGAUGCCAAGGACGAGCCUGCGCUGCUGCGGACUGUACAGACUGGCGUGUAACUUCCAACGUAUCUGCAUCCCACCCGAUUGAACCUCGAUGGGCAACCGCAGCGCCCUCUGCUGGGCCAUUCUGCAUGCCCUCGUCUCCUCUCACCUGGGGACAACCGGCGAAAGAAAGGGUAACUGGACCCAUUGAACGGCCCUGCUUAGUUUCCAGGGUCAUGAAUGAAUGAAGGGUUAAUGACCUACAGGCCUCAGGUGAACUGAGAAGCCAGGACAGGAGAUUUGACCUGACUGACACACCCGAGGAAGCUUCCCAUACGGAGGUCCACGUGCCAAGCUAGUAUCUGCCACGUCAGGACUGCAGUGGAGCUGACCUGCAGAUGGACUCUUCCAUCCUAAAGUUCCCCUUUCCUGUCCUCUAAGACCCCGAGACCCCGCACGCAAGCACACACUCGCCCUCUCGCUCCACAGAGACUGCGGCUCCUUGGUUGUUCUGAUUAAAGAGUAAUUCUUCUCCUGCA